UCAAGCCGCGCAGGCGACUCUUUCGAGGGCCGCCUCGCACUUUUUCAAGGUUGACCUCGGAUCAGGUAGGACUACCCGCUGAACUUAAGCAUAUCAAUAAGCGGAGGAAAAGAAACCAACAGGGAUUGCCCCAGUAACGGCGAGUGAAGCGGCAACAGCUCAAAUUUGAAAUCUGGCCCUCGGGUCCGAGUUGUAAUUUGGAGAGGAUGCUUUUGGCGCGGCGCCGUCCGAGUUCCUUGGAACAGGACGCCAUAGAGGGUGAGAGCCCCGUACGGGCGGCCGCCUAGCCUUUGUAAAGCUCCUUCGACGAGUCGAGUAGUUUGGGAAUGCUGCUCAAA
rnacentral:rRNA from 1 species